UACGUAGGGUGCAAGCGUUGUCCGGAAUUAUUGGGCGUAAAGAGCUUGUAGGCGGUUUGUCGCGUCUGCUGUGAAAUUUCGGGGCUCAACUCCGGAUCUGCGGUGGGUACGGGCAGACUAGAGUGAUGUAGGGGAGACUGGAAUUCCUGGUGUAGCGGUGAAAUGCGCAGAUAUCAGGAGGAACACCGAUGGCGAAGGCAGGUCUCUGGACAGUUCCUGACGCUGAGGCACGAAGGUCAGGGGAGCAAACGGG
rnacentral:rRNA from 1 species